GACGCACGCUGGCGGCGUGCCUAAUACAUGCAAGUAGGACGCAGUUGCGAACGGGUGAGUAACGCGUAGGUAACUGACUAUUAGAGGGGGAUAACUAUUUGAAACGAUAGCUAAUACCGCAUACUAGUAGAUGGACCUGCGUUGUAUUUGGUAGUAGGUCGGGUCAUGGCCUACCUAGGCAACGAUACAUAGCCUAACGGAGAGGGGGUUCGGCCACACUGGGACGUGGACACGGCCCAUACUCCUACGGCAGGCAGCAGUAGGGAAUCUUCUGAAAUGGGGGGAACCCUGACCGAGCAACGCCGCGAGAAGGAAGAAGGUUUUCGGAUCGUAAAGCUCUUGUGUUAAGGAAGCGGUACUUAACCAGAAAUGGACGGCUAACAACGUGCCAGCAGCCGCGGUAAUUC
rnacentral:rRNA from 1 species